UCAGUNNUNAUGGCUUGUCUCAAAGAUAAGCCUGCAAGUCUAAGUACGAGCCGGCGUCGCCGGCGAAACUGCGAAUGGCUCAUUAAAUCAGUCGCGUUCUCUUUGGUCUUGGGCCGAGAGCGAGCCAUCAAUUGGACAACUGUGGCAAUUCUAGAGCUAAUACAUGCCAAAAGCGCCGACUUCGGGAGGCGCGCCCUUGCCCGUGCGGGCGUCGGUGGGGCGUCGUGGAAACGCGGCGCUCGUUUAUCUGCGUCGACGAAUCUGGACAAGUGCCAGCGGAUCGACCGGCCGCGUGUGCGUCCGUACCCCGGGCGGGGACGGCCGGCGACGAACCAUUCGAGCAUCUGCCCUAUCAACUACGGUCGGUAGUAAAGCGGACUACCGAGGUGCUCACGGGUGACGGGGAAUCAGGGUUCGAUUCCGGAGAGGGAGCACGAGAAACGGCUACCACUUCCAAGGAAGGCAGCAGGCGCGCAAAUUACCCACUUCUGACCCGGAGAGGUAGUGACGAGAAAUAACGAUGCGGCCCUGGAAAAGGGACCGCAAUCGGAAUGAGCGCAGUCCAAGUCGCUGAACUUUGGACGGUCGGUCGGCCGUUCGCGCGGUCGGCCGGCUUCCCGAGCGAGUAUCGAUUGGAGGGCAAGCCUGGUGCCAGCAGCCGCGGUAAUUCCAGCUCCAAAGUGUAUACUAAUGCUGCUGUGGUUGAAAAGCUCGUAGUUGGUUGCGCCUGGAGAGCUGCCGGGGGAAGAGCGCGCGCGACGCGUCCGAGGUCGUCGCUCGCGCGGCGAAGGAAGAUGCGCGCGUGCGACCCGGCGGCGAAUGGCAAGGGGCCGCGUCGUUCGUGAGGGCGGCGCGGCUCGUUCGGUACGGCCCGGGGUGGCGUUCCUUAACCGGGCGCCGCUUUCCGGCGAGUCGAACCGAGGCUACUUUGAAUAAUCUGGAGCGUUCAAAGCGGGCCCGCGACGCCCCUGGGGCGUGACGGCCGCGAACAAGCGUGCAUGGAAUGGCAGAACAGGGCCGCGGCGCGACAGCGUGCCGACGCUAGAGCCCGUCGAAGCACGCGGCAAUGAUCGAGAGGGACGGACGGGGGCAUUCGUACCGUGCCGCGAGAGGUGAAAUUCAGAGACCGGCGCGAGACGAACCGAAGCGAAGGCGUCUGCCAAGGACGUUUUCUUUAAUCAAGAGCGAAAGUCGGAGGCUCAAAGACGAUCASAUACCGUCGUAGUUCCGACCCUAAACGAUGCCGACCGCCUCGCCGCCGAUAAUGCUUUGGCCUUCCAGGGCCGGAUGGCUCGGUUGCGGGGCCGUGAGGGAAACCGGAGUCUUCGGGUUCCGGGGGAAGUAUGGUCGCAAAGCUGAAACUUAAAGGAAUUGACGGAAAGGCACCACCAGGAGUGGAGCCUGCGGCUUAAUUUGACUCAACGCGGGAAAACUCACCCGGUCCGGACACGGCAAGGAUUGACAGACUGAAAGCUCUUUCUCGAUUCCGCGGGUGGUGGUGCAUGGCCGUUCUUAGUUGGUGGAACGAUUUGUCUGGUUGAUUCCGAUAACGAGCGAGACUCGGGUCUGCUAAAUACGCCGACGACUUCGGGGUUUGUACCCUCGGAGAUUGCCUAACCGGCGUCUGCCAGUUCUGCGUGCCAUACGCGUUCGGGGAGCGCCAGCUUGGCGACACGUCUUCUUAGAGGAAACUGCGACGCCACAAAGAGAUUGUAAAGUCGAACGAAACCGAGCGAUAACAGGUCUGUGAUGCCCUUAGAUGUCCGGGGCCGCACGCGCGCUACAAUGGCCGGAUCAGACGGUGCCCAAGGCCGCCCGCAAUCGUGCGUGUGCGGACUUCCCGGGUCGUGAGGCCCGGGUAACCCGCCAAAUCCGACCGUGAUCGGGACGGAGGCUUGCAAUUGUUUCUCUCGAACGAGGAAUUCCUAGUAGUCGCGAGUCAUUAUCUCGCGUCGAUUACGUCCCUGCCCUUUGUACACACCGCCCGUCGCUACUACCGAUCGAGCGCCCCAGCGAGCUCCUUGGAGCGGCUUCCCGAACGCGCCGCGUCCGCGCGGCUCUACUGGGUUGCCGCGAAGAGGAUCGAACUUGGGCGCUUAGAGGAAGUAAAAGUCGUAACAAGGUUUCUNUAKGUGAACNUGCGGAANGAUCNUUAUNNAAAACGUGAUUGAGCAGCGGNUGCACAGCUGCGGCANAAAGCANAGAUUGUUGUCNCGAANUCGAAGAANNGAGCANGCGAGUGCCCUCNGAANAGUUGAGGGCUCGAAGCGUCGACCGGCUANUCGGCCGCUCNCCGCCAGUGCUCNGGGGCCGGUGCGCGGGAGCGCGGUGCCCAUCGGUCGAUGGCGCAAAGCAGAGUANGUGAUGUACACUUGCCAAACGACUCACGGUGGUGGAUCACUCGGUUCGCGAGCCGAUGAAGGACGUAGUCCAUGUGCGAAAAGUGAUGCGAACUGCAGAAUACAUUGAACGUUGAAUU
rnacentral:rRNA from 1 species